UUAGUAAUUAUGUUAAACGUUUGAAUUUGGAACAAUUUUAUUGAAUUAUCUGUGCGAGUGAAAUUAAAUUAACAACGUUGAAGUUGAUUAAUUUACAAAUUUAUGUUCAUAUCAAGAAUAGAUUCAUGACAUUUGUUGGUAAAGGUAUUUACAAUCUCAAAAACACAAUUUUUCCCUACAUUUUCAUUAAAUUGUAUUAUAGUACAAUGCAGAUAGGAAAGAUCAUGUAAUAGAUGUAUAUAAAGCUGCCUGAGUAUGAAAGAUGCAUAAAAGUGGAUGUGGUUACAACGGGUAUGUGAAAUGUGGCAGACCCAUAUCUGGCUUCGUUUCACUGGCAGUUAUUUAUAAUAAAAAUGAAGUAUCGCUUAGAGCAAUGUAAAACUAUCUAUAUUAACAUAUAUUGUACUCAUCAGUUACUCAUUCUUUGACGUAGUGUUGGAGGUAUAGGUGCUGGGGGUAACGAAAAGGAAAAUAAUUUAAACGAAUUAAAGAGAUUGACUGCUGUUUAAUUGUGAUCGGUCAAUACGCGGCUUUAGUCCAACAUGUGUGACCCUGUAUAGAAGCAAGAAUCAGAGCCAUUUUAGCUAGAACUAAAGCCUUGCCUCCAAGAACAGCUAGAAACUGGAAACCCAUUGGAACUAGCACCAUACCAAAAGAGACGAUUCCGAACAUCAUCAUAGUCAGCA